ensembl:lncRNA LINC02641 long intergenic non-protein coding RNA 2641
UUGGAAGCAAAGACAGAGAGGGCACCUGGAGAAUGGUUGCCAGAGUGAAAUUCCCCAGACAAUAGAGAUAAUUUGGAACUGUUUAAAGAACAAGGGAAGAAGAGCCCAAGGACCGUAGCAAGGCCCUGAUUCUGGGAGACGAGAGAACACGCUGACUUAGAAUGCUUGUCUCUGCAUCCUGGUCAGAAAGUAGAUGGACGACACUUUCAUCUCCGACUGGAUUUUGGUGAGAGAUGGGCAAACCCCGGGCUCUAGGCUGGAGCAGCAGCUCUUGUAUCCACACAAAAUCAGGACUGGUGGAGGGAGCCAUCUUCAAACAUAAAUUUGCGUCUUUUGGCAAUGCACUCCUUGGGUUUGGAAGCUUCCCUCCAAGAUGCUGAGCCCAAUGUUUGGGGAAAGCCAGGGAAACAGAUGCUGGGUCAGUGCUGCUCCCACCUCCUCUGCUCCCCUCCUGAGGGCUCCACUGAGUCACCAGCCAGCAAACAGCCCAUGCGCCCUGGAGCAGAUGGACUGUGGGUACACGAGCCUCUGAACUCUUGGGCAGCAUGGGCACAACAUCCUUUUGGCCUCACCCAAUGACCUGGCUGUGAGGCCAGAGGAGCUCCGUGCUGCUAGGAGAUCCAGGCAGAAACAUCCAGGAGUGGAAGCUCAGCCCAGCGGCUGGGAGGCUGUGGCACCUCCUGUCCACAUGGCAGGCCAGGCCGAGGUGGGCUGGCUACACAGUGGGGCUCCCCCUCUCUGAUAAGGGAUCGAACGGAUGCUUGAAAAUAAAUGGCACCUGUGGAGAAAGUGCCCCAUCCCUGAUUAUGUCAUCGGAGCCUCUGGUCCCCA